CACGUAGUUAGCCGGGGCUUCUUAGUCAGGUACCGUCAUUAUCUUCCCUGCUGAUAGAGCUUUACAUACCGAAAUACUUCUUCACUCACGCGGCGUCGCUGCAUCAGGGUUUCCCCCAUUGUGCAAUAUUCCCCACUGCUGCCUCCCGUAGGAGUCUGGGCCGUGUCUCAGUCCCAAUGUGGCCGUCCACUCUCUCAAGCCGGCUACUGAUCGUCGCCUUGGUGAGCCGUUACCUCACCAACCAGCUAAUCAGACGCGGGUCCAUCCCAUAGCGAUAAAUCUUUGAAGAAAAGAACAUGCGCUCUCUCCUUGUUAUGCGGUAUUAGCAGCCGUUUCCAGCUGUUGUCCCCCUCUAUGGGGCAGGUUGCCCACGCGUUACUCACCCGUCCGCCACUCAGUCAUUACCAUCUUCCCUCCGAAAAGUUCCGUCGGUAGUGCUUCGUUCGACUUGCAUGUGUUAAGCACGCCGCCAGCGUUCAUCCUGAGCCAGGAUA
rnacentral:rRNA from 1 species